GCCCUCGUGGAUCAGCGGUAGAUCAUCCGUUGCUUUUCGCCAUGUAAUGAAGGAAGUUCUGUCGACCAGCUGGGUUUGAAUCCCAGCGAGGGCA